rnacentral:rRNA from 1 species
CCUACGGGAGGCAGCAGUAGGGAAUAUUGCUCAAUGGGGGAAACCCUGAAGCAGCAACGCCGCGUGGAGGAUGAAGGUUUUAGGAUUGUAAACUCCUUUUGUUAGAGAAGAUUAUGACGGUAUCUAACGAAUAAGCACCGGCUAACUCCGUGCCAGCAGCCGCGGUAAUACGGAGGGGGCAAGCGUUAUUCGGAAUCACUGGGCGUAAAGAGUGCGUAGGCGGGGAAAUAAGUCAGAUGUGAAAUCCUGUAGCUUAACUACAGAACUGCAUUUGAAACUGUAUCUCUGGAGUGUGGGAGAGGUAGGUGGAAUUCUUAGUGUAGGGGUAAAAGCCGUAGAGAUCAGGAGGAAUACUCGUUGCGAAGGCGACCUGCUGGAACGUUACUGACGCUGAUGCCCGAAGGCGUGGGGAGCAAACAGGAUUAGAUACCCUUGUAGUC